rnacentral:tRNA from 1 species
AAGGGUAUGUCUGUGGCCGGUAAACAGAAUCCGGAUAGGGACCGGAUGCAGCGUCGCGGGUUCGAAUCCCUCUACCCCUG